GUGUGCUUGCUUUGGCACACUAAGAUGGGAACGAUAGAGAGAAGAUUAGCAUGGCCCCUGCACAAGGAUAACACACAAAUUUAUGAAGCGUUUCAUUUAUUU